GGGCGAAUGCGACUUCGACCUUUCUGUUCAUCUUUGGUGCAGCUUCAAAUUUUCAUGGAACUUUUUCCUGUCCUGGUGCCUUCUUUAUCCUUGUCUUUUCAACCUCUUUAGGUGUUCCCUUACCCUUUUUCUCUGAUUUUUUCUUGUUGGUCUUCACAAGUUGGGGCUAGAUGUACACUGUUGGGUAUUUUAAACGCAAACAGAAAAAUCCGCAAGCGCACGGAUACCGAUGUAGCCUUCACCCGGGAGU
rnacentral:lncRNA from 1 species